AAAAAAAGACAGGGAUCUCCUAGAGAGAGUCCAAUGGAGGGCCAAAAAGGUGAUUAAGGGCUUGGAGCAUCUUCUGUAUGAGGAAAGACUGAGAGAGCUGGGGCUGUUCAGUCUGGAGAAAAGAAGGCUGAGAGGGGAUCUCAUCACUGUUUAUGAAUAUCUCAAGUGCAAGAGUCAAGUCAAUGUGGGCAGACUCUUUUCAAUGGCAAGCAACAAUAGAACAAGGGGCAGUGGCCAGAAACUGAAAUAUGGGAAGUUCCAUACUAAUGCAGAGAAGAACUUCUUUACUGUCAGAAUGACAGAGCACUGGCACAGGCUGCCUGGAGAGGUUGUGGAGUCUCCUUCUAUGAAGAUAUUCAAGACCCAUCUGGACACCGACUUGUGUUCCCAAUUGUAGGGAACUGCUUUAGCAGGGGGUUCAACCCAGUGAUAUCUUGAGGUUCCUUCCAACCCCUGCAAUUCUGUGAUUCUGAUUGUGUGGCUCUGUGAUUUAAGGCUGUGUAUUUUCCCUCUUCUUUUUUUACAGUUAUUUGAAAAUGUUUUUGUCCUGAAGCUACCCCUCUUUGACUCCCCUUAAAUGGAGUACCAAUCUGAAGUUGGACAUGCUUUAAUAGAGGCUGCUUCUUUCUUCUUCUUCUUCUUUUUUUUUUUUUUAAGAGGUGGAAAUCAUGGAAUAAUAGAAUGGCUUGGGUUGGAAGGGACCUUAAAGCCCAUGCAGUUCCAACCCCUGCCCUGGGCUGGCUGCCCCCCACGAGGUUAGGCUGCCCAGAGCCCCUCCAGGGAUGGGUACCCAUAGUUUCUCUGGGCAGCCUUGGCUUUCCUGCUCCCAUCCAUGCACAUCCAGACAGCAUCUCUCUAUUCUUUGCAGGCCACUCAAUCCUGCUUCCACUGCCUGCACAUUUUCUUUCCCUCACUCUGACCAGCAGGGACUUGCCCAGCCAUGCCAGUUUCCUGCCUCCUCUACUUGAUUUCUUAUCUUGGAGGUUGGAGAGCUCUUGUACUCUCAGAAAGGUGUCCUUAAAGAGCUGCCAUCUCUGCUCUGUUCCUUUGUCCCUAAGAACAACUUCCCAGGGGAUCUCACCCAACUACUCCCUAAGCAGCCUGAAGUUUGCUCUCUUGAAGUUCAGGGUCCUGACUGCUCUUUGCCAGGUGCAUAUUCCUUGAGAUCACAAAUGAGACCAGGGCAUGGUAGCUGCAGCCCAACCUGCCUCUAAUCUUAAUCUCUUUAUCUGUCUCCUCUGAAUUCAUGAGCUCCCUGGUCCAGUAACCCUUCUCCUCUGUCAGUUAGACUAAUACCUGGGCCAGGAAGUUACUGUCAGUGGGCUCUGGGAGUUUCCUGGGCUGCUUGCAGCUCACUGUGUUGCUUUCCCACAAGACGUCUGGAUGAUUGAAAUCCCCAUCAGGAUUCGAGUCUGUGACACUUCUUGCAGCUGCAGCAAGAAUGCCUCACCCACAGGCUUUCUUUGGUCAGACAGCCUGUAGUGGACCCCAACCACCAGAUGUCCUUUAUUGGUCCAGUCCCUAAUUUUGACCCACAGGCUCUCAGUCUGAUUGUGGGUGAUUCUCGGAGGCAGCUCUUCACAGUCUAUCUAUUUCUUAACAUAGAGGGCAACUCCAGCACAGGAACAGGUUGCCCAAGGAGGCUGUGGAUGCCCCAUCCCUGGAGGCAUUCAAGGCCAGGCUGGAUAUGGCUCUCGGCAGUCUAGUCUGGUGGUUGGUGACCCUGCACAUAGCAGGGGGUUGGAACUCGAUCAUUGUGGUCCUUUUCAACCCAGGCCAUCCUAUGAUCCUAUGAUUUCAUGAUUCUAAAAAUCCCUCAGCCCUCAAUCAUAGUGUUCCAGUUGUGUGACUUGUCCCACCGUGUUUCUAUGAUAGCAAUUAGGUCAUGGCUUUUUAAUAAUGACCUCAUAGGAAAAAAAUCACUCUCUUUGUCUUGAGCUGAAAAAUAUAGGCGUGUCCAUCUGUUAAGUAAGUUUUUGUGCUCAAAUGUAGAUACAGUUCUCUGAAAUGCCUUAACAACUAUUAUGAUAGUGAAAGCAUCUUGAAUGCAACUCGAGAGACCUGGAUUCUUUUCCUGAAAUAACCACUGAUUCUCAAGUCACUUAAUUUCCAUAUCUUGAAAACAGAGUAGUGUGUUUGCUGUCUUUCAUAAAGAGCAUUCAAAUCUACAUAUGCAAAGUGAUACAUAAACAUUUGUAAUAAUAUAGUGGGUGAUAUUCUCCAGGGAUAUAAAAAGGGGUGACCAGAAGAUGCUGGGAGAAUGAACUGACUUCUGCAGCUGUAGCUGAGCUCUUUGUCUUACUGGUGGUAAUUUGCAACUCAGAAUUUGGUGGUGGGGAGACAGAGUGCACAGUCAGAGUGCAGUCAAUUAGAGCAUGGUCAAUUAGAGCACGGUCUGAUUGACUGAACCUUAAGGAAACAUACUCUGUUUGUGUUUGCAUUAACUUAAAGGAUUCUCAAUCAUGAGGUAUGUGUAAACAUAGUGGGGGUUUCUAUUUUCAAACUCCAGUUUUUCCUUUUCUGUUGCCUUCCAACUGCUACCUGAAAGAAAUCCCCAGUGGCAUUGCUUCUAAAAGUCUAAGCAUAUCUACAGCAGAAGAAGAACAUUUUGUCUUUACAUACUCACGCUGCAGAAAGGAAACAUUAUGUGGCACCUCAGCAUCAGACAUUUGCUAAGACACGCAGUGGUGGCCCUGUUUAAUUCCUCCUAGUGGACAAACUGCUCCAGCAGUCACCAGUCUAUGAGCUGACUCCUGGCUCCCUGAGGCAGUUAGUGCAGCACUGAGAUGCUGCUUUUAUUUCUGAGCCGUUUGGUGAGUGCGUUUUAAUCAGAGAUGUGGAAGAAGUGUUGGGGAGGAGGUGCAGCCUUCUCCUUCUCAGGUAAUUAAUCAUCUGAUUUUUGGUGUCUCAGUAAUUACUGUUGGUAAAAAAAAAAAAAAAAAGUCAUUUGAAUGGUGGCAAUAUACUGCAAGCAAACAUAACUUGGAAUGACUUUGUUUCAGCCACUUGACUGUUCUUCGUGAGCAUUUUUACAGUCAGCUGAGGACUUGUAACCAAGCCUUUGGCCACAACUGUCAGCUCCAGAUUGCCUCUAGCAGGCAAGAGUGUGAUUGCAAGAUGCUACCAUUGCUUCUGGCCGCUGGCCUUAUUGUGCUGAGUAUGCAAGAAGGGACGUGCACAGCCCUGACUGCUGUUGGAUCUGAUUUCCACUGAAUUCUGCUGACCCUUAAACUGCUGCUGUGAUGGACUGAAGUAGCCCGAAGUGAACCUUUUCUCCCCAGCCAAAGCAAAAUGUUUAUCAGCAGCUCCUCUAAAGCCACUGCCGUUGCCCAAGUCUCUCCUCCUGCUGUUUGCUGCCUGCAGGAAGGCACGGGGAGCUGGCGAGCAGCCUGGGUGAACCUGCUCUGCUCCGACAGCCACUUUAGUUACCUGCCCCGAACCUCUGCUGCCAGCAGAGGCAGCUGUUGGUUCUGAGGCCAUCUGGAGGCACAAGGCAGGAUUUGAGGGAACUGCCUUUCUCUGGAGCCUCUUGUAGCACUCGUAGGCUUUGUUUAGUUAUUUAUCCAUCCUUCCAAUGUCCGUGCCAGUUUAGAACUUCCCAACGCUUUAACAACCAGAGUGUUCCUGAAUAGGUCAGAGUCAUUAUCCAUUCCUAUGGGGCAUACUGAACAGAAGAUUUGUUUUAAAAACAGAUGAAACAAUCAGCUUCUGAGCUAAUGCGGGGGUUUCUUGUUUACAUGGGCUUCAGCUCAGGCUGGACAAGGAGCUGGAAGAGUUUCUGCUGUGGGUACUCCUGUAUGUUCUUGCAGAGAUUCUUCGAACGCCGGUGGUUCUGUUAGCGUCCCUACGAGUGAAGCUGUGGUUGAGCAGAACCAAUUUAAAGUUGUUACGUUUGUCUGAGCUAAUCUUAUUUAUUUCAGGGCUUUUGCUCAGCUCUGCCCUUCUUGUUCCCGAGCACCUCUGCAUGAGUCGCCGUGGGCACAGCUGUGUGCUUGGGGACUCAGUUCUAUGGGAGCUCCCAGCUCAGGUUUGGGUACUGAGUGUUCCCCAGUCAGUAGGAGGAAAAAACUCAGAAAUCCUCAGAGUGACUGCUGCCAUUACUUUGCAGAGAGCCUGUGAGAGCUCAUUUAUAAGGUAUCUGACAGCAAUCAGCACCAGAUCGUUCAUAAUGUCUUUGGAGUGUUUGAGGCCAGAUAAAUCCGACUGUUUUUCUGCCUUUGUGAAUAGCUGUGAGCAUAAAUUAAUCUCUAAUUUGAGGGGAAUGCUGCGUGUUAGAUGGAAAUGCAGGACGGAGCUGGAGGGGGCAACCUGGGCCUUUUUAUUCUAUCUAGACAUUAAAAUGUUCCAUCUGUACUUCUACUGCGAUCUGCAGUGGAAGUCAAAGGAAGGAUUUUGUCUCUUUUCUUUUAUAUUUUGCAUUUCUCUCAACACUUCAGAAUGUUCUCUCUGUUUUUUUGGACAAGGGGUGCAUGUUUUUUCCCCACUUCUUAUUCAUUUAUGAAUUUAAAGGUCAAUGUUGGGAUUUUUCAUACUCAAAAGUGUAUUUUCUGUUUAUUAUACAUAUUUUAGGUGAGUGGUAUUUUAUUUACUUUAUUGUUUGUUGUAGAUGUUCAGCUAUAUCUGUGCUAAGAAAUAGGUCCAUUACUCGACGCAGGUGACUAGCUCUGGGUGCCCCCACCUGGUUGGAGCUGCCUAUUUCAUUGCAGUGUUGCUAAAUCCUUUCUGUAUGGUUUUCAUUCUGAAAAAGAUUAACCACAAAACAGCAAUGCAGGCAGUUCAGAUUCCUGCAGAGCACUGCUUAUGCAUUUGGUGUGUAUUUCAACUGGAGUAUGUCAGCAGCUGACAACAGGAAAGAAUCAUAGAAUGGCCUGGGUUGAAAAGGACCACAAUGACCGUCAGUUCCAACCCCCUGCUAUGUACAGGGUCGCCAACCAGCAGACCAGGCUGCCCAGAGCCACAUCCAGCCUGGCCUUGAAUGCCUCCAGGGAUGGGGCAUCCACAGCCUCCUUGGGCAACCUGUUCCAGUGCUUGGACUGAAGGUACCGAGCUCUUCAGAACUGACUGACCCUGGCAGUUCUGAUUUGAGGUGUAAGGCACAGAUCUGAGCCAUACGUGUUCUUUGCCACUAGGGUGGUGAUGCAGACAAGUUAAUGUUCGGAAGGCAUACAGCUAUGCUGGGCUAAUGUUUGAGCCUACAGUAAAGUGCCUACCACAAACCCAUCCUUCUUGAUAUAAAAAUGUCAAAUAUUCUUUUACUACUGUUAAAGGACAUAAAGGAAAAGUUGCAGAAAGAAAUUCCCUUCUGAGAUUUUCAGUUGUAAAAACUGUUGUUCUCAUACAAACUUCAAAGCAAAGCUAGAAGAACACAUGAAGAGGCUGUUAGUGCAGCUGUGGUUUCUAAAAUACGUGGCUCAUGCAAGUCCUGAAAGGUACAACUGCUCCUUUACCAGCAUGAAAGCUGGAGAGCAGCAGAGCCCCGACAAGUGCUGGAGGCUGUUUGGAUGUCACACAGUUCAGUGGUCUCACAGUCCCAAUGUCAGACACACAGAGCCAGGCCCAGGCUGAGGUUGUCCCAGAAGAUCAUUGCUGUAGAUUACUGAAGUACAAAGGCUUGUAAACAACUACAGUGUCCACACGUGGGGCUGAAAAUGAGCUGUUAAGAGCUGAAAAUAUCAAUGUCUGAAAUUGGAAUUACUGACUCCUACUGGUUAGAGUUCCACCUCUCCCACUUAGAGAAUUGUUGGAUGCUCGUAAUGUAGCUUUUCACACUUUUUACUCUGUCCCUUAAAUUAUGUCUGUUUGAAUGUGAUUUCUUGAAGCCUUCAUUAUUUGUAAGUGAUUAUGUUAGGCUUUGAUAUAUUUUAGGUAUGAGAGUGUUUGAAUUAUCUGCUUUUCUCCUUUUAGCUGUCAUUUCAGGUAAAUAACAAUUCUGCAAGUUUGUGGUUUUGACUUCUCACCUCAGCGGUUUGGAUCAGUGAUUGAGGACGUGGACCCAGGAAUUUGAAGAUGAGCUUCACUUUUAAUGUCUUCAUUUGGACACCAAGCAAAUCCCUAACUAAUUGAGGCUGAAAUGCCUUAGGAUGAUAUUUGCUGUUCUUUAUUUAAAUUCAGAGGGUUUAUCACCACACAGACAUUUCAGUUGCUUAUUCUAGGAAACUCAUGGAAACGUGCUUUGUUAAAUAAUGUAUUUUCUAUUUUUUUUUCCCUUCCUUGUGUUACAAAAUGAAUGUAAAAGCUUUAAAACCCAGCAUUCACCACUCUGCAGUAGAUCUAAUAGAGUGGCAUUAUAUGAAGAGAUGCCAUGGUAACUGAAGUUGCCAAGACAGUCAGUGUCAAGCUUUUUAAUGGUGACUGCUAUACUAUAUUUGGCUUUGAUUACCACAAUCUGAAUAGCAAAUGGAAAGUGUUCACCGGUCUCAUUUGCUACCACCUACAGUCCAGAAGUAACGAGAUGACAGAAUUCAGUGUUGCACUGACUGCCAACCACUGGCCAUCAGGAUUGUUCUUUGCAGCACUCCCCUCUCCCACUGGAUCUCAUGGCAUCCUUAUCACAGCCUUACCAUUUGUGCUAUCCAGUUGGUGAUAUGCCACUUGUCUUAAUGAAAUUUGGCACCUGAAGCCAGUAGAGGAGUCUGCACUUUGUGAGCUGGCAAAAAAUCAGCAAAGUCAUUUCCACAGGAAACUGUUCUUUAAAUCUGUAAGUGGUGCGAAAGCAGAAUAAAGCAGAAACAUACACUGUUUUUUUCUCAUAAAUGGGUUAGGUGUACCUUACCUCCCUUGCUGUAAAGCUUUGUAGAUCCUGUUAUCAUCAGUUUUCACAAAAAUGAUGCUUUCUUCUGUCUCCAUAAUUUUGGUUUAUUUUUUAAAUGCCAGAAUAGAAAGCGAGGUCCCAUCGCCAAGGUGCCAUUUUAUCAUUUUGCUCACUCUAAUACAAAUGAUUUACCUAUACACUGAAGUAUUACCGUAAGUUAUAAUGAAGCUCCUUGCUAAAACGUGCAGCAGCAGUUCCAAAACGUUACUCAUUACCUUUAAAUCCAGAACUAAACUUUCUGCCAGUAGUAAUAGCCUCAUGCUGUUAAAAAGGACUGUUUUUAACAUGCUGUUAAAGGACUGCUUUACUUAAAAGGAAGCAGUCACAGAGCAGACUAUGAAAUGCUUCUUGAAUGAGAUGAACAGUCCUGGCCAUAACAGUUGUAGACUAUUGGGAAACUCAAUAGGCAGCUAACAGGAACAACUUGGGUAGGAAGAGCUUGAGGGUGAGUGCAGCUCAGCUCAGAACAGCCUUCUGUCAUUCUCUCUUGCAGUUAGGCAGACAUAAACAAAGAAGCAUGAUGGGAAGAAACUGAUAUCUUGGAGGGAAGGGAAAGACUAAAUAAAGAGUAGGGAAAAAGCUUUAACAAUGUGAUUCUUUAGAUAGAAAGCUAGUCUCAAAAGACCUAUCCCUUGACACAUGAAAAAUUGAUUGGAGAAAGCAGUAGCAAAUAGUUUUCCAGGAAGAAUGUUGUAUUGGCAGGAGGAUGGAUAAGAUGAUCACAGUUCAUUUACUUAAGUUAUAUCCAACAGCAUUAUGAAGUAGGAGAAUAUAUGGGUGAUUUCAUGUGGUUUUGGAUCGUGUGGAUUUUGAACAAACCAGUCAGGAGGUAGCAGCAUUGCUUUGGAGAUCAGCAAAUGAAGAAAAACAGCUUCAGUUGAAAGGGAACAGAUUUGACAGGAAAAAUUCAUAUUUGUUAAAGAUUGGUUUAGAAUACUGACAUCAAAUCUCACUGUCAGUGGAUAUUUUCUUCAACGGCUGUAUCUCUACUGCUAAAAUGCAACACAACAAAUUCAGAUUCAUUCCUAAGAUCAAUUUGUUCAAGUCAACAAAAUUUUUGUCACACCACUGUUAAACCUGAGAUGCCUCAAAUAAAGAGUAUAACUUGGCUUGAAAACAGCACGAAGGAUGAAUGUAAUCCAUGCCAUCGAGAAAAUAGCCAAUGUUAAACUAGAUGAGUUUGACACCAAUUCAAAAGGCAUCUUCUUGUGUCCUACAUUCUAGUAAUUUUGUUGACUAAAUUAUGUGUUUAAAUUUAUACGGCAAACUCAGGCCAGCAUUUGGGUUCCUGUGAUUAUUCAUUUGUAAGGCUGUGAAUGCUUAUUAAUGGCUCCUGGCUUUAGAAUGAGCGUUUAUGCUUCCAAAGCACUGCACAUGACUAAUUUGUUCUUCUGCUUAUUCGAAAGCAGCAGGGGUUGUCAAGAAGCCAAAUCUACACUGAAUUAAAACCACGUUGCUUUGCUUCCAUAGAAGAGGUAAUACUUGGCUGUUGUAAAAAAGUCACACUUCAAUUGAGCAUCAGUUCAUCACUGAAACUACAAAGUGGAGCAGUCGCAGAGGUAAGGUGAUGGUAAAUGCAAUGUGACGUUUCUCCUGGGCCAUACUGCAGAGAAACCUUACCUUUGUGUGGUGCAGCUGAUGUUGUGUACUUCCCAGAAAAAACAAAAGAGCUGUAAGGUUGCAGCAGAACGCCAUGUCAAGGGAACCCAGAGUCUAAUUAAUCUCAGAGAAGUAUAAAGCCAUAACGAGUACCCACUUCAUUUUGUUUGAGUUGGUUUCUGUCCAGGUUAAUGUGAAACAGAGUGACCUGGUUGUAUGUAUGGGCCUGAAUGCGUUCCCAUGUUCUGCUAUAUAUUCCCACUACUAAGAUUCAGUCUAACCUCCAGCGUUUGGCAACCCUUAUGGUCUUCUGCCAGUUCUUCAGUCUUCAGAGGAGGUUUGAAGCUUCUCGAUAACGAUUUCACAUAGCAGUUGUGGAUCCUAAUGGUAAAUAUUUUUGGUUGGCGUUCCCUGAGGCUGCCAGUUAGCAGCUAACAGUGACACUCGACUGGUUUCUGUGCAGUGGAACUGUGCAGUUAGAUUAAAUCUCACUGAGUUAUUGCAAGGAGUUACACUGUGGCUAAAUGUUUGUACCACUGCAACCUGUAGUUUUCAAUAUAAUUCUCUGCAGCCUGGCAAGUGCAUUAAUGGUUUUACAUAGUGCGAGGAACAAAAGGUUGCUUAGAUGCAGCGCAGCUGCUGAAGGUGGUUAUAAAAAGGCCCAUUUAACAUUCAUAGAUUCAGGGAAAGAAAACAGGAUAACCCUGCUGCUGGUUGUAGGGGUGAGUGUGAGCAGCUGCUUCAUGCGAUGCACAGCUGUGCCAGCGAUGUGCUGCAGAAGCGAUGAAUUAAGCUGUAAAGUGCAAGUCUCUGUGUACAACGUCCCGUUUUUGGAUAGCCCUGGAAAGUAAUGUAGAAGCUGUACAUGAGUGCCUCAAGUCUCUUUGCUUGCCUGUGCAGCAAUUAAUUUCAUACCUAUGCUAUGAAACCCCUGGAACAUCCCGUGUAGUGCGCAAACCAAGCGCUGUGCACAAACCUCCCAGCUAGACCAGAGGAAUUUAUAUCCCCUUCACUGACACACACAGACUGCUGGGUUGGUGCAAUGCUCUGAUGUGUUGGAUAAUAUGUGCAGGUCGUUGAACUUCAGUAGUACUGGAACAUGUGGAACAAACACUCUUGAAAUGAAGAAACUCCCAGCUUUGGGGCUGUGGCUGCAACCCUCCAAGGUGCUAGAUGUGUGAAAUGUGUUCUUCAGCACUGUACCUGAACAAAAAUCCUUCUGUCACUCCCUAGAAUUGCUAAAAAUGCUAGUUGUGUUUUAUAGAUAAAUGAUUGAUUGUGAGUUGUUGGCAUCAGCAACACUGCAGGCAUCACCGCCAUGCAGAGCUUUGUCUGAUUCCUGCCUGGCCAGCAAUGGUAAAUAGGUGCAGGGCUGGAGGAGCUCCAGGUGUCACUGUUAGGACAGCACCUGGGUAACUGGAGGGGCUUGUUUGUCACUGCUGAGGGAUUUCUGUGACCAAGACUCAACAGCUGCAUGCAGGGCAGCUCUGGCUGAAUCACACAGCUUCAGGUGUGGGAAGCAGCACUGCUUUAUGGAGGCUGCCUUUUUACUUUGGAGGUUUCUUAGCUGUUACAUAGUUGGUCACUGAUAACUUUGGCACAUUUUUGGUGGAGUAAUCUUGCCAGCAGCUUGAUACAUAGCUACAGAAAACAAAACAAAAGCAUCCUCACUUUCCUCAUUCCUUCCCCUCAAAUGAAGUAAUUUGAAAAGUGCAGAGCUCUGUUAAAAAGCAGAAUCAUCUGGGAAAGGAAAUUUGUCCUGACAGAGAUGGCAGGGGUUUGCUAAGCAGCAAGGCUGUGUGACUCCAUCCUCGUGGAACUGCUCCAGCACUGACCAGACGCACUCCUUCCAGGUCAGGACAGUGGGAGCUUGAGCCUUACUCUGUCCAAACAGCUUUGGACCAGACUUUGCUGCUGUCGCCUGCUCUGUGGUCCCGUUAUCUAUGGCAGCCUGGUUGGAAUGGUGUUGCUCAGACCUCUUGGGCAAGUCACUGCAAGCCCUGGUUGCUGGGAGAUCCUGUCUGCUUAUUGCAACUCCAGCCAGUGCUAUGACUUGCAAGACGCAGCAUGCUGAGGGCCCUCACUAGCACCUUGUCUCUCUAACUUUGCUAUGGGCUUGUCAUGGGCAGGCUCACUGUCACCCCUUUCCCCCUUCAAACCUGGUUUAAAGCCCCCUCAAUGAACUCAGACAUCUCCUGGGCUAGAAUUCUUUUCCCCUUAGACUCGAGUGGACUCCAUCCAAGCCAGGCUCCAAGUAAACCACCCCGUAGUCAGAAAAGCCAAAAUUCCUGCAGUGGCAUCAGGCUGUCAGCCAUGUAUUUAUCAAACAGACUUUCCUGGUCCUCUCAGUAUCUCUCCCUGCAACUGAAGGGAUUGAGAACAUCAUCUGUACUCCCGCUCCAUCCACUGCCCUUUGGUAUUUGUAAUGUUUGUCACAGUUGUUGGUUCUUGGAAGAAUGCAGUGUGUGCUGCUAAAUGGGGAUGGAAAAUGCAACAGCCGCAUCCAUGUAUAUUGAAAUGCAUUGUGUAGCACUACAGAAGUAUUUUCAUAAAGCUGACAUUCAGAAAAACAUUCAGAAAUACAUAUACUAUAGCAAUACUAGACAACAUCUGUUAAUAUUUUAUGCUUUUUUAAACUCACAGCCCUUGGAGAAGGAGAGAUUUGACAGUGAAAUAUUCAACUGAUUUCAGCAGCAGUGGGUCAGAUCCACAAAUCAGGCCACUGAUGUAAUUUGUCCCUAGAGCUUUAGCUGUCUAUGGAUGCUGGUAAGGUACUGGUGCCUGUUGUUGCCUGCCUUUGGCAGCAAGAGCACUCCCCGUUUGUAAGGAAGUAAUCUAAUUUUAUUCAUCUUCUUACUUCAUCUUAGACUUUAUUGCCAUCUGUCUUCAUGAGGUAGAUAGAUUGUUUGAGUGUAGCCUUGUGUACUGUCGUUGUCUUUUGUUUCCCUUACAGAGAGCUUGUGUAGAUGCUCACUGCUGUUACUGAAGUGGACUGGAGUUUUAAACCUGUUGCCUGUCCUCUUCAUCUCGUCGUAACACAACCUGUUCUCUUGGCAUGACAAAGUAGAAGCUUCCUCUGCCCAGCCUAGUGACAUGUCACCUGGUCACCAACCUUUCAUCUCCUCUUAUAAUAUCCAUGCUGAGUAGUCCUUACAGAUUAACUCUGUGAUAGACAGUCUGUGUGAUGUCUGAUUGGCAUAGAUGGACAGAGGUUGCUCCAAAAGUAAUGCCUCCUAUUUAUUUCCAUGGAAACCAACAGAUACAAAGAGCACAAUAUUAUUGUUUGAUAGAGCACAUUCUCAGCUACAAAACACUGUUUUUCAACACAGAUACCACCAUUAACAAGCAUUUGCAAGCUGUAUUCAUAAAAAUCUGCCUGACCUAUAGGAACGUGGCUUGUCUUUCACGUUGCUGUCACCACUGCUGAAACACACCACGCACCACCUCAGUGUGUUCACAUCCUCUGUUCGGUCUCCAUUGAUGAAUGUCAAUGGGUGCCAUUUUUUCUGCAUGGAGGAAUUUAGUCCCACCCCUCUACUCCAUUCAUACUUCCAUGUCAGAUGCCAUUCUUUCCGAUUGCCCCCCUACUGCCAUCUGUCAUAAAGCAAAAAAAUAUAAUGAAAUAUUGACGGGAAGGUUCAACUUCUACUGCCAUCCCAGCACCAUCCACCUCUGAUGUUGUGGGCCAACAUCAUAAAAUAGGAGGCAUUACUUUCAGAGCAGCCCUCAUAACCGAGAAUGUUUGAAUUAAGUGUGCAGCUGUCUUGAUAGCCUGACAGUAACUUCAGCAAAGGGUGGCAGUGCCUAGGCAGAAUGUGUCUGAAAGCAGGAUUCCCAGUCUGGGAGGUGGAAUUACUUCUCUCUUCGUAUCUUGAUUAUUUAUUUUUGCUCUAUCAACUCUAAUGCUGGGCUUUUGUGUUCACAUCAGCACUUGGUGGAACCAUAUUGGUGGCCCUUUUGAUGGAGGUGAGAGUUUGUCAUUGGUGUAAGGAGAUUUCAUUGUUGUAUCAGUUCUGUAGUUCUUUGACACUCCUAUGUAAAUAUGGUAAAUCCAAACCAAUCCAUGUAUUUGCGUCUCUCCGAGGAUCUGCUUUGAAAUCUGCAUUUCAACAGCCUUUGUAACCGUACCUCAACACAAUGCAGAUAAGAAAGUGCUUUCUGCUAUCCCUGUUAAAAUGCAAGACAGCUUUUCCAGCUGGACAUAACUGCGUACCUUCACUGGUCUCCCCACAAUUGGGAUUUUUCUUCCUUUCCAAGAGUGAGCAGUGCCAUCAUGCCACCAAGCAUGGCAGCAGCUGACACAGGGAUUAAACUGCUGCUUCCUUGCUCUCUGCCUGAAGAUAAUUCUUGAAGGAAGUACAGUAGGAUUUAGGAAAAAUUUCUUCUCCAAGAGAGUGGUCAGACACUGGAAUGGGCUGCCCAGGGAGGUGGUGGAGUCACCAUCCCUGGAGGUGUUCAAGAAACAUGUAGAUGUUGUACUGAGGGCCAUGGUUUGGUGGGGAAGUACUGGUGGUAGGUGGACGGUUGGACUGGAUGGUCGUGGAGGUCUCUUCCAGCCUUGGUGGUUGUAUGAUUUUCAGCACAUGUACAUAUUUAAGGCAUUUUUUAAAGUGUGUUUCUAAACUUCAUAUUUAGAAACCUGCUUAUUCAAGCUUAUGCUUUGCUAAGUUCUAGGAAAUGAAAUUAACUUGAAGAGCAACUUACUGUAAUUUACUGUGAACAAGUUGUAUCUGUAACAGAAGCUUGCUGGCACAUGCUGCUUUAGGUUGGACAAGGGAUAUGAGUGUGUGUAUCUUUCUGCUAUGUGGUAAGACUCCACGUGAGGAUGGAGGUCCUGGGGCCUCAGAGGAAGACUGAUGUCUUGCCUGAGGAGGAAAUUCAAGGUGUGCGGUCAUGGUUGAUGUAAAAGCCAUUCUGCUCACCCUGCCCUUUGGGCAGUCUGCCCUUCCCAUCCUGCAUAGGUCAAUCCUUUAGGUCCAUCUCAUACGCUGUGGACCUUGCGUUAAAGGGGAGAAUGCACUGCUGGAGGUGUGCCAGUUUCUGAUUCCAAAUGUUGGUGCAUCUUCUCAGCUUCUUUCAUGCUUUCUCUGGCGAUUGCUUCCGUGAAUACAAAAUCUGACAAAUAAUUGCAUUUUGAAGGGCAUGCUUAAUGGAGGUCCAUAAAAAUGAUUUACAGACAACUGCAAACUGAACUAUUACACUAAAGGAUAAAAAGCUUCCUUAAUGAGCUGUACAAGACAGUUAUUGAUGUAUUUAUGAAAACAUUCCCCAGUACAUGCAACCAGGGGAAUUCAAAGAUAAAUAUUUAAAGAUUGUCUGACAGUUUUUGAAUGUAGCAAAACUCGAGUUCCUCUGGUUCCUCUGUAGGGCAGUAAAUGUCUUGAAACAAAAGUAUGUGUGAUUUGUAACAGAAGAGAACAAAACCUGUCUUAAAACUAGAUGUCUUUCUAUGUGACAAUGCUUUGUUCAACCUAAGAGAUAAAGCAAGGAGAAAAUAGGCAUGGGAAGCUUAAGAUAUUAAUAAGGUAAGCCAACAUUUUUUUUUUCUAUCUAGGUAAUUUAUUAGAAUGGUGUCAAAGAAAUGUACUUAAGAUGAUGAAAUGUAACAACAGUUUCGCGUUUGAUUGAGUUUCCUUUCAUCCCAUCAUUGCUGUACACAGUCAGGUUAUUCAAGUGUGAUCUUUAAGUGUUCACAUUGUGAUUUAUAAUCUUGAUCUUCGCACCCCAGGGAGAGAAAAAUUGGUCUGUUGUUAUGAAUCUGAUUAAUAUAUAGAACAAUGUGUGCCCUUUUGGUAUUUAUUACACACAUGUGCUUUUAGUUUGGAUUAUCUCAUUGUUACUUGCACUUUGCAGGCAUACUGCAUUACUCUCUGAGUAACAAACUGUAGGAGCAUUCUAAGUAUUGGGGCUGACACUUGGUGUGGCAUCACCUUGUCAUUGGUGCACUUUAUAUCCUUGACUGGCUUAAUAAUUGAUAAUUUUUAAAUAAUAUGGUUUUCUUUAGGACCACAGCUGCUGUGUCACGUAACUCCUCCUGCCAUACAGAACGAAGACCUGGCUCAUGCUAUUAAAUAAGCUCUAGAGUCUUUUUUAGACUUCUUCCACCACAUUGUUUCUUGGGCUACAGACUGAGACUGGGCUAUGGAGCCUCUUCCUUUGAAGGUUGGUAGAAGGAGUGAAUGAGGGACAGGGGCUGUGCUAGCCAGCCUGUGAAAGGUGCUGGCAGCCGCCCUGAGUGUUGCUCAUGGGUAGAAGAGCUGCAUUAGCAGCCAGUGCUGAAGGUUAAUAGAAGAGUUUUAGUCUUGGGGGAUCUCUUCUUCAGCACCAAGAAGGGUUGUGAUGAAGCUGAAUUUCCCCCUGGGUGACGAUGCUGGUCCCAUUUUCACUUACAAGAACAUGGAAUAUAUUCAUCAACAUUCAUUAACUUCAUGGAUCUCAAGGAAGCACACAUAACCUCCACUAAGACUUCUGAGUUGUAAGUGUAGUAUGGGGUAGUAUUUAAGCUUUUCUAGCUUUCUGCUGGGAUAUAAGGGUUUGGGUUUCUUUCUUUGUUUUCCUUGAUGUCAUUUGAUUGCUUCAAAUUUUACUUUUUUGGCUUAUUUUUCCUGUUUCAUUUCCCCUGUAAGGACGCAGCAGUUCACAUGCACCAAAGUCUCUGUAAUAGUGUCCUUACAAUGAAAGGGGAUUUGUGUACUAAGGAUUGUAUCAGUGAAAAACUAGUGUUGGAUUUUUGCUAUGUGGGAAUGUAAGGCAAGGAGAGCAGAAAAGGAAUAGCCAAUACUUUGAUAGUUAAGGAAGCACAAGGGUACACAUACAAGUCCUGAGCCUUGGAAAGGUUCUCAGUCCAGCUCUGUAUAUCUGACUCAGUAUGGAACAGCCUGUGUUAAUUUAACUUAAAUCUCUCCUGCACCAAAUUGUAGGUGGGAAGUCUGUUGAUCAAAGCCAGACUUUUAAAGCAGGUUUCCUGUAGUAGUGUGUAAAAUCAGUCUUUGUACAAGAGUAGUUCUGUCACCUGCCUUGCAAGCAAAUUACAUUAUGCAAUUUAGAGCCCAAGUAUGGCUUAACUUCAGUGGAUAAAUCUCAUGCCUGUUGUGAAAGCAUUCAUGUCCUUGGGGCCUGUAUUUGAUUUCUCAAUAUGUAGGAACAAUAGAAAUUUGAAGAUUUUGAUUGAAAUGCAACCCAUGGAUUAUGCACGUAACCAUUUGCAGCCUUUACUUAUGCACCUGUUGUGAAGACGCAUCCACACUAAGGAACUGCAGCUCAGCCUCUUUGCUUGGCUGCAGUGCCUUUUGGUGUAAGCUAGUGGAGAUGUUUUGCCUCUAUCAGAAGAACUGAAGCACUGUUCUUCCAGGGAGGCCGGCAGCAACAAAGAAAGAAGGAUGCCCUGAAUGGCUGUUGGAGGCUGUCAGACUGUUAUAUCUCUUGUAUUUACUGCUUUACUUGUUGCCUUUGGAAGAUUAUUGCUGUCAGUGCUUGAAGGACCCUGCUCCACAGUCACCUAGAUGAUCUCACCUUCUAUUCUGUAUUGUUUUCAGAAAAUACAAUGGUUAGCAUGUUAAUGGUUAACAUACAGUUUUAGCAGCUUCAGUUGCAUUAUAACUCAAAAAUUCUGUCAAGAAGAACUUAGAUUGAGCUUCAGAUUCUGACAGUGUCCUGAAGACAAUCUUACUGGCUUCUCCCAGGUGACUUGCGUUUCCAUUCUGCAGGCUGGAGCAAUGUGAUGCUGAGGUGAUCCAGAAUUUCUGACUCUGUGCAGAUCAGCCCUGUCCCUGAGCAACCACCAGGCAGGUACGAUUUAGAUGAGGGUACAAAAGCAUGGAGACCCCUCAGAUUUAUGGGUGCCUCAGUCACCUAGAGCAGAUUGUCUGUGAGAUGAGAGUGCACAGAGACCACAGUUGGAUAUUGUACACCUCUGGAGUAGUUACCUUGGCAACUAUCAUACUGUGUGCGGUUUGGUUGCGAGGAACUGGCACAGCAGAGAAGUGUGACAUGUGAGACAUAAUCCUCCGUGCAUUUCCGAAGAUGGCAAGCAGGUGAUGGCGUGAGCAUUUCUGCUGUUGGCAGCGUAACGGCCACGAGCUCAUUGCUGUAGCAGCCCUACUCUCACAAUUUAAAUUCCUCAUGUUAACAAAAAUGAAGAGCUGUGCAGUGGUACAUGUUAUCAGCACUUUUUCUGGAGGAGUUCCUUGAGAAUGAAGGUGAAUAAAACCAUCCUGCUUACCUCACCACCUCCCACUCGUUUUGCCUAAAACGCCUCAUUGAAAUUUCUUAGCAGAGCAGGGCUGUGCAGCUCCUGGAGGAUCCUCUUAGAUCUUGGUUGGUGGGAGGUGGAUUUGCCUGGGCUGCUGACUUCUUUUUCUUCAGAGACCUCGGUAAGCUGUGUGAGUUCCCAGGGCACCCAUCCCAUCCCCCUCCCAGCCCAGGGGAGCCCACAUGGCUCAGAAUAAUGAAGGCCCUUACUGAGGGUGUCAGGGUUCACGAUUCCUCUCCUCUAGUUCUUGUGAUGAUUCUAUAAGGCGCCAGUAGGGCUUGUUAACAGAGCUGAUCAAUGAAACUUGUGUGCAAGGAUCGCUAAGAUCAAUUCUGCAAUGAAUCAAAGAGUCCUUCCAGUAUUGACUUUCUUUUUAAACAGCAAAAACUGGAAGAAAAAAAAAUAUAAGAGUAUUCACCACUAUUGGUGUGUGUGGCUGAGCCGUCCCUGAAGGGCAGCAGUCUGCAUGCAGCUGUGCCAGGGGUUCCAGGUGGCACAGACCUCAGAGACCCCCGAGUGAGGAAGCAGAGAUGGGGUUGCUCAUGGUGCUGUAUUUUGGCCCAUGCUCAGUGCGUCACUGUUGUUUGAAUCUUAAAAAGAUUGCCCCCUCCUCGUUCCAUUUUAGUUUCCUGGUCGUAGCUUUUGUCUUUCCAUAGCAAAUGUGGUUCCUCAAGCAUUGCAGAGUACGGGCGCUUUUACUUGACUUUGAAAUAUUUUAAGCCUGAUUCUCUUUCACUUAGCUUUCACUUCUAGAAAUGAAAAAUAUCAGAAUAGAUGGAGUUGCUCAUUUUCUGUGUAAUUCAGUGAGAACUCUGUCAGGUCAAGUCUAGCACAGACAAGAGGCCCCUCACCGCUGGGUAGGAAGAGACAGCUUGGUAGUCUGCAUUCCAAGUCAAGGUGCAUUUCCAGGAGAGGUGGGAAGGGGGGUGGCAAAGCAAGUUUCACAGAACUCUCUUAGUUCUCCUUGGUGGAGUAAUCCCUGUUAAAAAGCUGACUGAUCAGUGACCAUAAGGAGAUAUACCACUGUCUUGUACAGGCUUACUGUACUUGGAAGUGCAAUCAGUGUUUUAAUGACUGUUCCCUGCUGCAGUAUAUUUAACUGCAUCGAUUGAUACCUUAAAACUGUGGCUGUUCAUUAGGCUUUAAAAAUUUUCCUUCUUUAUGUGUUGUAUGUGGGAGUGUAAGCCAUCAGCUUAUGUAAAAUGUAAAGCUUUCUUUUGGGAUACCCACUCAUUUAAAAAUAUAUAUAUAUGAAAAAAAGAUCAGGUGGGUUCAUUCAUCAAGGUGUGAAUGCUUAAGACCAUUUUACUAACGUGAAACCAAAAUCUGGUGAUUUUAGGGGAAUCACAGAAUCACCAAGGUUGGAAAAGACCUCCAAGAUCUUCCAGUCCAACCAUCCACCUGCCACCAAUAUUCCCCACUGAGCCAUAUCCCUCAGUACAACACCUAAACAUUUCUUGAACACCUGCAGGGUCGGUGACUCCACCACGUCCCUGCGCAGCCCAUUCCAAUGCCUGACUACUCUCCUGGAGAAGUGUUUCCUAAUGUCCAACCUGCAUUGGAGUUAACAUUCUGUUGUGUUUUAGUGAGUAGAGCACAGUGUAGGGUGGGUUUCUUGUACAAGUGCAUCUAUUCAUUCAGCAGCAAUACAAACCCAUGUCAGUAUGGUUUUCAGCACACCCAUGGGUGUGGAUGGGGUUGCUGGUGCUCUCAGGUCUGCUGCUUCCCGCUGUAACGAGCAGCCUGAAAGCUGCAGCUUGCUGUGUGUGUUCACACAGCCUGUCAGUCUGCUGCUGCCAUUUGAUUUAGGAUGAUGAAAGCAGGAGCAAAAUACAGCUAAAAGUGAAGUGAGUUGUGUUGGAUGGAUUUGUAACUCCUGGUGACCUGAGGAAGGAGAGACAAUGCCGCCGGAUGUCACCUGGCGGUGGGCAGACACCUCAGCCCUGGCUGUAAGUACGGGAGAGUUUUGCAGCUGCAGUCUUCCUUUUCAGCUUUGUUCUCACAGCUCUGGGCCUUCUGGUCGGAUCCAUGCAGGGCUGCCGUGCCGUGUUUCAGUCUGUGCCCUCCCACAGGCUGGGAGCUCUGUACAAUUUGCCCUUUUGAAACAUGAUCCUUUGUUCCUACUGAACUCGGGGCCGCUAUCCCAGAAACCUUGUUCCAUUUUCCAGCUGUCUGAAAUUGGGCUUUCUGCUGCAGAGGAUUUUCUUGCCAUAUCAGAGAUUCCCUCUCCCUCCAGGCUUUUUAUUGCUAAAACAGUAGGCUAUGAAUGCUGCAUCAUGGUGCAUACAGGUGUGUGUAUCAGUGUUUGUGCUAGCACACUGCAGGCGUUAUCUUAUGCUGUGCAUUUGUGAAAGUGCUGUGAAUGUUCUGUGGGUUAUAACACUCAAUUGCAUGGUGCAUCUUCCCAAAUUCCCACAAAGAACAGCAGAACUGACAGCAAGAGAUGCACUAACAAAAUCACACGGAGCUCUUGCCAAGCAGAGGGCAAUUUUGUUCCUAGGCACUAAAGGACGACGAUGACCAACAACAUGCUUGCUGCUAUAUUAAUAGGUUUUAUUUCACCAUAAAUCUUACCGCACACCCUGCAGCUUGUUGUGCCUUGGCCACACUAAACCGUCCUGCAGGACGUUGCUCACAUCUUGUUCACGUGCUGUCCUUUCUGAUCAACCUGCCAGGCGAUGGAGCAGGAUAGGGACGUCAGGGCAGAACUGACCAGGAGGUACGGACUGCUUCAGCCAGGAGGAACAACACUGACUCCUGUGUUUUAUCUGGCUGCUGGCUGUGGGAAUCCUGCCAACCAGCUGGUGAAAACGGUAUAAAAUCUGACUUUGUGUAAUAUUACACUUGUUUCUGUGAUCCUUGCUUUUAGCAAAUAGUUCAUUCCUAACCGCUGUUGGGAAGCAGGCAGACUGACAGUGCUGUGAGUGCACGUGGGCUCUGCUCUGCAGACACAGCCCGUGUUUCCAGGGUUGUACUCCAUCUCCCUUCCAUGCUUUGGUACUCAGAAAGGAUUAACUUUGCCCUCAGUGCCUUUACACAAACAGCACUAAAAUAUUUGAAGGAAUGUGAUUUUCUCUGGGGCUGGAUGGAAUUAAAGCAUUGUACUUGUCGUGAUUUAAGGUUGUUUCUGAUGAUGGAGGCUGGCUGAGGUUUCUCACUUCUGCUGUCCUCUCUUGCAUGCCUUGUUUCCUACAGUCUGUGUAACAAGCUUUCCCAGGGGAAAUCUCCCAGCAACAGCAUGCGCUGAUGAUGCUGUGAUGCCUGGCUGUCGGAGUUGUUGCACACAAAUAGGACUGACAAGUGAAACAGAAAAUGUGAGACUAUCUGAUGUUCCAGGGAGGAUGGCUGAAGCACGGCCACUGCAGGAACGCGGCUCAGUUAAACUUGCUUCUCCCAAAGCAAAGAUCAUUAGGUUAAAAAACAGCUGGUCUUUUGACAGGCCUGCUUUCCAAAUGAGACAGCACCAACACCAGCUUUCAGUUUUAAGAAGCUGCCAUUAUUUAUCCCUUUAAAUCACUGAUUUUAUUAGUUCUGCUGGCAGCUUUCUUAGCUGAAUCCGCAUUUUGUGUAAUUUGUUGUAGUUCACUUGUGCGGGCAGGUUACUAUUUUCUUUGUGCUUGUAACUGUGAUGACAGUGUUCAGACUUUCCAACCCUAGCACUGUACCCACGGUAGGCAGUGUCACCUGUUGAGGUUGCCCAAGAGCUCCCACUAUAAAUCCUAAUUUCUAAUACAUCCAUGUAUCUCUACAGCAGUCCCUGUGCAGACUUGUUGCUGGCUCACGCCUGCCAGUACUUCACAGAGAUGCAGAUGCCAUUGGUGGACUUUUCACUGCUGGACAGAAGGCAUUUGAGUGAUUACUUGUUGUGAAGUACCUUCUGCAGAGACUGCCUGCAGUUUUGGAAGGCAGCUGGAUAGCAUCAUGCAUUAGUAAUCUAAUGACCUUUACCCCUCGGCACCAUUUCCUCACAUCUUGAACAGCUUGGCAAUACUAGGAAAGCAUCCCAUGGUUCAGUACAGUUGUGUAAUAGAAGUUCUUCUCAUUACAUUUCACUCAUUGACUGAUUUUAUCUCAAGAGUAAGCACAGCAGCUAGAAAUCACAGGAAGCCUCGGAAGAGAGUUGGAUUAAUACCUGAAGGCAGUUUCCUCUGGAAGUGAGCUUUCCUUCGAGGCAUGGAGCAGCACUGCUGCUGUGGCUGCUGCACUGGGGCUGCAGGAAGUACCUCUGUGCAGACAAAACUCAUUCUGGGAACAUGCAAAGAACACAGAGUUUGGACCCAAUUACUCACUCUGCCAUCUUUUUUUAUCCUCAAGGAUGGGGGGGAAUCCUUUAUCAGUGCAUAGUAAUCGUCUUGAUGUCCAAUGAAAAGAGCAAUGACAAACAUUUCCUUGCCAGACAAUGAGUAUUGCAGGCAGACAGCUGGGUUACUUUCCACCUUUGCACGAGCACAUCUGCUCAACGAGCACGGCAUACAUUCAGAGAUACCCGAGCACGCAGGGCUGACAUUUGCUUUUCAGAAGCGCCCCCCUGACAGGCACUUGAAUGCUCAGACACCCGUGUGAAAGGUACACAGGACAUCAGUGGGACGAGCUGCGUAACUCACACCACUGACACGUCUCUUUUCACUUGCAGUAUUUAUAGCUGGCAGUGAUUUCCCAUUGCGCACUUUUGCUUUAGGAAGGACUUCUAAAAUAUCAAGAGUUUGUUCCAUACAGACCUUUUCCUUUGGGUACAUGAAGGAGGCUGAUGUCAACGGCAGCUCUCGGACGUGGCCCUGAAUGCACAGCAGUACGAGCCAUUCUGCUUGUGCAUGUGGUCAGCUUUUGCUUCAGUCUUCUUGUGCUUCUGCUUGUGCUUCAGUCAGCAUGACUUUCAGAGCUCUUCAUUUUAUUUUAUGGCUAAUUUCACGAAUUCAUUAGGGGCAUUGUAGUGGCAGUGCUCAAUCACAGCCUGAAACAGUGAUGGAGCACCUGGUGGGAAGGCAGGGCCAACCCAGGGGAGUUCAGGUGCACGUAGUGCUGCUGAGUGACUAGAAGGGAUGGAGUCAGGAUCCACCCCUUCCCAGCCCUCAUUUAAGGGUUGGCAGUGGAGCUGAGGGUAUCUUUUGCUGGAGAUUCCUGCUUACCUGCGGCCUUCUAAGAGUAAGCAGUUCUUUUCCUUAAUUUUUGCAUCUGUGGCUGUUGCAUUUGGGCUCAUUCUCAUUUGGAGUAGCUAAAGACUUUGACGCCCUGCUAUUAUCCUAUUAUAGCGUUGCAGGCAUUAAUAAUAGUUAAGGAGAUUUAAAUCCAUUAUGACUGUAACACUGGGCAGGCUGCAGGGGUGUGCAGAUGUCAUCUCCAUGUUCUUCUGGAGGAAUUUUGGAUGCUCAGUAGCAGUGAUGCCAGUGUUGGGGCAUGCACCCAGAGCACCCCUGUCUGGAGGAAAUGUAGUUCCCCACAUCUUGCAACGCACAGAGCUGUGAGAACACCAGAAUGCCUGAGCACUCAUCUGCUGCCCAGCUCUUGGCUGCUGCUAGAUGCAGCUCGUGACUUUGAAACCAGUUGUUUGCAAAAGAGCUCUGUGCCAUGCCCUGCAGGGCGAGCAGGGCCUCGUGCUGCAGCUGCUGACUAAUGCAUGACACCUCUGCUGUGAGGCAGUUGUGUUCACUCACCGAGGUCAGGGUGACUCAAAGCAGCACAUGUUCCAUGUCGAUGCCCAGAGGCAGCUGCUGUUUUACAUCAUGACAAUGUCAAUUAUCACCUACAACACUCCUGUAAGGAGUAAAAUGGCAUUGACAAAAGAUGCAAUUAUUUGGCUGUUUGCUUUCUCAGUCCUCUGCUAAUGUCAGUGUCUGGUUGUCUCUCUGAUGAUGCCUUUAAACCACAUGUGUGACAGCUACACUGCGUUGAAAAACACAGCUUUCCCCACCUGUGUGUGCAUGAGGAGAUGUGCUGUUGCAGAGAUGCCCUGAUCUUUCUGAGCACCACUGUAACGCUGCUGGAGAAGCUCAAGGGGGGAUUGUGUCCUUUCCAGUGGAGGCUGGAGGUGCAAUAUUGAUCUCAGCCCCCAUCUCUUGGAUAGCUGGAGUGUCAAGCACUGGGUAGAAUUGCUGUAAGUGCGCUGGCUCUUGCUGUGCUCCUGGCCGUUCCUCUGCUUCAUGUCUAUGUGCUUGGGCCUUUGGAGCUGGCUGCUGCACCAGCCCAGCUCUCGGAGGUGUCCCCCAGCAGCUGCUGCCUGGGGUUGCUUGGGCUGCUCGCAGGAGCUGAGGGCACAGCCCAGCCCGCUGUGCUGGCAGAGGCUGAUAGCCUGCCCAGAGCAAGUUUUUCUCCUCCACCACAGUCAUCUGACCUGUCCUUAGAACGGCAUCUGCUUUUGGGGGGCAAGACCAACAAAAAACAACAGCAACAAAAAGCUUUUGUGAUUCAUCUCUUAUUUAGAGCAUGUGCUAAUGAUGAAUUUGGGUGCAUCCCAUCUUGUCUCUAGGAACAGCUGGAAUAACUUCUGUGUUUUUGCAUUGGAAACAACAAUGUUGCCGAAUCAUAGCUGUUCUUUGUGAAUCUCUCCAUUUCUUUAAGUUGUCAAUUUAUGGAAAAGUGGAAGAAUCUGGUAGUGAAACUGAAACUUCUUGUUUGAUCAUUUUGGUACCAGCAGAUGUGGGGAAUUCAUUCCAGGACAAGUUUAUUGCCUACGUUCACGUUCUGACAUUGCCAAAAUGAGCAGAAAUAAAAGCCUUCCCCACCCCCCUCAAGUUUUUAAAUAUAAUGGGAAAUGUUUUUAUUCUUUGGAGUUGUGGCAGAGUCUGCACAAUUUAACCUUGCAGACUUAUCCUGUUCAACCACAGGUCGUGUGCUGCUGUCCCAGCAGCUGGGGCUGGAUCCAUGCAGUCAGUCUGCACACGACGUGGAGGUUUGCUGAUGCUGCACAGUUGGGUGCAGGCAGUCAUCUGCAGAGCCCUCACGCCUUUGUAUCAUCCAGCCUGAUACUCAUAGCGCUGUUUUACUAAGCCCAAAGCCUUUACUGGUUACACAUGCUCUGCGUCAUUCCUUCCAUUGGCACGUGCUCCGUUCGGCAUUCUCUCAUUCACGUACGACACAGGGAAGGGAUUGUAUACUCCACUGUGAUACCACUUACAUCUCCUCCUUUGUUUCUAGGCAUGUAAUUACAUAUGGAUUUGGACCUUAACAAACCAUGGGUUGCUUUAGGUUACACUUGCUCCUGCCUCAGCCUAACUACGUGUUUUCAUUUAGAUUUUGGCAAGACCUUUGUCUGGCCAGCUGGCUUUUGUGCUCGAGACCAUCCUGUCUUUUGUCUUGAGUUACCCUUCCUUCUUCCCAACUGCAGCCCUGACUGCACUUGCAGUAACAGGGAUGAAUUUAUCAAAUGUUUGUGUAUUCACACAAUUAAAACGCAGAUAUUGAUUUGUUACUUUGAUCUCUUGGCUUCCCUUACCAGAAUGUAGGCAUGUAGACACAAAUACAGGGUGUGGAGGAUCUGUUGCAAAGGGCAAUUUUGAUCUGGCCGUAGCAGCGUGAGCCAUCUGUUGAUUGGCCUUUGUCAGCCAAAUUGUGCUACUAGUUGGCAUAGUGAAUAUGUAUGCAGCACUCUGCAGGACAAAACUCAUAAAUUCAGAUUGCCUUGCAUGAACUUAUAUAUGCAGUUCAGCUCCACAAAGAGAAAGAAAAAGAAAAAAACUGCAUACAUUGCUUAUGCAACAAAAUGUUGCUUAUUUAUAGUGGCAUUUACAAGGUGCAGGGAAAGCUGAUAUCCUCCUCAAUGAUGAGGGCUGAAAACCUCAUUAAAAUGUGUUAUAACAUCAAGUGAUGCAUUUCUGCCCCUACUGCUCCAUUUUAACACAGG
ensembl:lncRNA